rnacentral:tRNA from 1 species
GCUUAGAUAGUUUAAUUAAAACGUUGAUUUGUGGUAUCAGAAAUAUAAAGAUUAUUUUAGGCU